rnacentral:tRNA from 1 species
GCAUGCGUGGUGGAAUGGUAUACACGUGGGACUUAAAAUUCCAUGCCUUCGGGAUUAAGGGUUCAAAUCCCUUCGCAUGCACCA